rnacentral:rRNA from 1 species
UGGGGAAUCUUGCGCAAUGGGCGAAAGCCUGACGCAGCCAUGCCGCGUGAAUGAUGAAGGUCUUAGGAUUGUAAAAUUCUUUCACCGGGGACGAUAAUGACGGUACCCGGAGAAGAAGCCCCGGCUAACUUCGUGCCAGCAGCCGCGGUAAUACGAAGGGGGCUAGCGUUGCUCGGAAUUACUGGGCGUAAAGGGAGCGUAGGCGGACAUUUAAGUCAGGGGUGAAAUCCCGGGGCUCAACCUCGGAACUGCCUUUGAUACUGGGUGUCUUGAGUGUGAUAGAGGUAUGUGGAACUCCGAGUGUAGAGGUGAAAUUCGUAGAUAUUCGGAAGAACACCAGUGGCGAAGGCGACAUACUGGAUCAUUACUGACGCUGAGGCUCGAAAGCGUGGGGAGCAAACAGGAUUAGAGUACCCUGGUAGUCCACGCCGUAAACGAUGAUUGCUAGUUGUCGGGGUGUUUACACCUCGGUGACGCAGCUAACGCAUUAAGCAAUCCGCCUGGGGAGUACGGUCGCAAGAUUAAAACUCAAAUGAAUUGACGGGGUCAUAGCUGUUUCCU